rnacentral:rRNA from 1 species
AGCGUUGUUCGGAAUUACUGGGCGUAAAGCGCGCGCAGGCGGUUCUCCAAGUCAGUGGUGAAAGCCCGGAGCUCAACUCCGGAACUGCCAUUGAAACUGGAGAACUUGAAUCUUGGAGAGGUCAGUGGAAUUCCGAGUGUAG